CAGUAGCAGUUAAGCUGCCAGCAUGAUCUUGUCUUCCUCUCUUAAGUUUCAUAUAUAAUCAAGUUAAUAUAAAGAUUUUGUACAAUUCUUGUUCUUAUUAUAUGAUCAUAGCUUAGAGAGAGAGAGACUAGGUCAUGCUGGUAGUUUCACCUGCUAAUG
rnacentral:pre_miRNA from 1 species